UGCAAACUGCGAAUACCGGAGAAUGUUAUCACGGGAGACACACGGCGGGUGCUAACGUCCGUCGUGAAGAGGGAAACAACCCAGACCGCCAGCUAAGGUCCCAAAGUCAUGGUUAAGUGGGAAACGAUGUGGGAAGGCCCAGACAGCCAGGAUGUUGGCUUAGAAGCAGCCAUCAUUUAAAGAAAGCGUAAUAGCUCACUGGUCGAGUCGGCCUGCGCGGAAGAUGUAACGGGGCUAAACCAUGCACCGAAGCUGCGGCAGCGACACUAUGUGUUGUUGGGUAGGGGAGCGUUCUGUAAGCCUGUGAAGGUGGCCUGUGAGGGUUGCUGGAGGUAUCAGAAGUGCGAAUGCUGACAUAAGUAACGAUAAAGCGGGUGAAAAGCCCGCUCGCCGGAAGACCAAGGGUUCCUGUCCAACGUUAAUCGGGGCAGGGUGAGUCGACCCCUAAGGCGAGGCCGAAAGGCGUAGUCGAUGGGAAACAGGUUAAUAUUCCUGUACUUGGUGUUACUGCGAAGGGGGGACGGAGAAGGCUAUGUUGGCCGGGCGACGGUUGUCCCGGUUUAAGCGUGUAGGCUGGUUUUCCAGGCAAAUCCGGAAAAUCAAGGCUGAGGCGUGAUGACGAGGCACUACGGUGCUGAAGCGACAAAUGCCCUGCUUCCAGGAAAAGCCUCUAAGCAUCAGGUAACAUCAAAUCGUACCCCAAACCGACACAGGUGGUCAGGUAGAGAAUACCAAGGCGCUUGAGAGAACUCGGGUGAAGGAACUAGGCAAAAUGGUGCCGUAACUUCGGGAGAAGGCACGCUGAUAUGUAGGUGAAGCGACUUGCUCGUGGAGCUGAAAUCAGUCGAAGAUACCAGCUGGCUGCAACUGUUUAUUAAAAACACAGCACUGUGCAAACACGAAAGUGGACGUAUACGGUGUGACGCCUGCCCGGUGCCGGAAGGUUAAUUGAUGGGGUUAGCGGUAACGCGAAGCUCUUGAUCGAAGCCCCGGUAAACGGCGGCCGUAACUAUAACGGUCCUAAGGUAGCGAAAUUCCUUGUCGGGUAAGUUCCGACCUGCACGAAUGGCGUAAUGAUGGCCAGGCUGUCUCCACCCGAGACUCAGUGAAAUUGAACUCGCUGUGAAGAUGCAGUGUACCCGCGGCAAGACGGAAAGACCCCGUGAACCUUUACUAUAGCUUGACACUGAACAUUGAGCCUUGAUGUGUAGGAUAGGUGGGAGGCUUUGAAGUGUGGACGCCAGUCUGCAUGGAGCCGACCUUGAAAUACCACCCUUUAAUGUUUGAUGUUCUAACGUGGGCCCCUUACCGGGGUUGCGGACAGUGUCUGGUG
rnacentral:rRNA from 1 species